GAUGUACUAGGACGAAUGAAAUCGAUGUCUAACAAUUCCUGUAGUUGGACUUUUAACUCCUGAAGUUCAAUAGGAGCCAUUCGAUAUGGGGUUUUAGAAAUAGGUUUUGUACUCGGUUCAAGGUUAAUAAAGAAUUCAACAUCACGUUCUGGGGGUAGACCGGGAAGUUCUUCAGGAAAUACAUCAGGAAAUUCUCUAACAACAGAAAUAUUAUUCAAAUCUGACUUGUUUUUGUUCAAAUCCAUAACAUGGGCUAAGAAAGCUUGACAUCCGUUUUUCAAUAAACGAAUAGCUUUGUGGCUUGAUAUGACAGUUAUUGAUUUUAG
rnacentral:lncRNA from 1 species